rnacentral:lncRNA from 1 species
GGGGAGGCCAGGCCUUUCGCACACAACACAGCCCACCUGCAGAGCCCCCGUCACAGGCUCCAAGCGCAGGCCCUAGGGCUCUGCCCUCAGGGUCUCUGGCCUGGCCUCCACCCACACAGGACCACCUGGCUGGGCUGGCAAGGGCAGCUGGGACAGGGAGUCUGCAGGAACCCCCUCUUCUGUCCUCUCCUUCCCUGCAGGGUGGGGAACAGGCAGGCAUUAGCCGGAGACAGGCAGAGGGUCGCUGGCCUCCUGCAGGAAGGAAGCAGCUCCCGGGGGCCUCCUGUCCAGGCUGGGUGGACAAGAGCGUCUGAAGGCCCCGGGGUCCCACUCAGGUCAAACCACCCCAGGCUCCACCAAGAGACUCCAGCCAAUAGCAGGGCCUGUGCCGGCCUCAAGUGCCCUGGCCAGGCUCCGAGGGCCACGGUGGGGGACUGGCAGUGUUCCCUCCCCAAGCACAGCCUGUGUGUGUGGAGAGGUGGAGGCUGUCCAAGGAGACAGCACGCAGUAAGUUACCAGGCAGCAGGGCGGGCCGGGUGCUCUCCUGCACUCAACUUCGCUCAGGCCAAGAGACCCAUACCAAGAGGAGGGCUGCAGCGGGCGGCCGGCGGGGACAGCAGGCUUUCUCCCGCCUUCUGUGGAACCAGAAAGGGUACAUAAUAAUUGGUUCAGCCCAGGCCCAGGACGCGCAGCUCUGGCCCCCAGCAUUGCCAAGGGGCUCCUCCCAGGUGAGGUCUAGAGGGAGGGAUCAGAUUGAGAGUGAGCCUGGGCUUUGUCUUUGUCUUCCAGCUCAGGCUCCCUUUGGGGUCCUGGGCACUCCGUUUCUGCCAGGAACAAGAGAGGCAGCUGAAUCCUGGGUGCCCCCAGCCUGCCUGCAGCUUCUGUGUGAACUCGCUAACGAGCUGUGUGGGUUAGAGACUUCUUGAGGACACUGUCCUUUGUGGGAUUCCUGUGUUUGUGUAGGCAUCUUCUACAACUUCAAAAAGUGCCAGAAAAUGGAAUUAAAAGGUACGUUUAUUUUGGUGUAAAACACCCUGGGAAAAUCUGCAUACAAGGGGUCUUCAAAAAGUUUGCAACAAAACAAA